UACGAAGGGUGCAAGCGUUAAUCGGAAUUACUGGGCGUAAAGCGUGCGUAGGCGGUUAUUUAAGUCUGUUGUGAAAUCCCCGGGCUCAACCUGGGAAUGGCAAUGGAUACUGGAUAGCUAGAGUGUGAUAGAGGAUGGUGGAAUUCCCGGUGUAGCGGUGAAAUGCGUAGAGAUCGGGAGGAACAUCAGUGGCGAAGGCGGCCAUCUGGAUCAACACUGACGCUGAGGCACGAAAGCUAGGGGAGCAAACAGG
rnacentral:rRNA from 1 species